CGGAGGGUGCAAGCGUUAUCCGGAUUCACUGGGUUUAAAGGGUGCGUAGGUGGGCAAGUAAGUCAGUGGUGAAAUCUCCGGGCUUAACCCGGAAACUGCCAUUGAUACUAUUUGUCUUGAAUACUGUGGAGGUCAGCGGAAUAUGUCAUGUAGCGGUGAAAUGCUUAGAUAUGACAUAGAACACCAAUUGCGAAGGCAGCUGGCUACACAAAUAUUGACACUGAGGCACGAAAGCGUGGGGAUCAAACAGGAUUAGAUACCCUGGUAGUCCACGCCCUAAACUAUGGAUACUCGACAUUUGCGAUAAACUGCAAGUGUCUGAGCGAAAGCAUUAAGUAUCCCACCUGGGAAGUACGACCGCAAGGUUG
rnacentral:rRNA from 1 species